GAUUCAGCGAGAGAACAAGAGCUGGAGUCCAAAAGAGGCUGCACACAAGAAUUUUGUAUCUUUCCUAAACCAGGAAAAAAGAAGGCAAGAGCCUUCCCUUCUCUGAAUCUAGGAAAGAUUAACUGAGAGUCUUGUAACCACCCAGUGGGUUCACCUUGUUCACUGCCUAGACAGAGCGAAUUUAUCAAGACAGCGGAAUUGCAAUGGUGAAAGAGUAAUUCAUGCACAGCCGUCUGUGUGGAAGACUGGAGUUUUAUUAUUACUCAAAUCAGUCUCCCUGAGCAUUCAGGGAUCAGCGUUUUUAAGGAUUAUUUGGCAGGUAUGGGCUCAGGAAGUAGGGAGUGUUGAUUGGUCGGAUUGAAGAUAAAAUUACAGGGGGUUGAAGUGAGUUCUUGCUGACUUCUGUUCCUGGAUGGGAUCACAGGACUGGUUGAGCCAGAUUAGCAGUCUGAGUGGUGUCAUCUGCUGCAUUGGAAUGCAGGGUCUGCAAAAUAUCUCAAACACUGAUCUUAGGUUUUGCAACAGUGAUCUUAUUCCCAGAAGCAAUUUGGGGAGGUUGAGACUCUUCCAGCCAGAGACUGCAUGGCUCCUAAAUCAUAAUUUCUAAUCUUGUGGCUAAUUAUGUCAGGCCUCUGAGCCCAAGCCAAGCCAUCAUAUCCCCUGAGACCUGCACGUACACAUCCAGAUGGCCGGUUCCUGCCUUAACUGAUGACAUUCCACCACAAAAGAAGUGAAAAUGGCCUGCUCCUGCCUUAACUGAUGACAUUGUCUUGUGAAAUUCCUUCUCCUGGCUCAUCCUGGCUCAAAAGCCCCCCCACUGAGUACCUUGUGACCCCCACUCCAGCCCGCCAGAGAACAACCCCCCUUUUUCCUUUACCUACCCAAAUCCUAUAAAACGGCCCCACCCCAUCUCCCUUCGCUGACUGUCUUUUCGGACUCAGCCCGCCUGCACCCAGGUAAUUAAAAGCAUUAUUGCUCACACAAAGCCUGUUUAGUGGUCUCUUCACACGGACGUGCAUGAAAGUUAGUCCUACAAAGACAGACUGGUCUCCACGCAAGCAAGGGUUUUUUUCCAGAAAGUGCUAUUGUCAAUUUUGUUGGUUCAGAGUUUAAACUAUAAACUAAAUUCCUUCCCAAGACUAGCUCAGCCUACACCCAGGAAUGAACAGACAGCUUAGAGGCUAGAAGCAAUGUGGAAUCAGUGAGGUCUGACCUUUUUCACUGUCAUAAUUUCCUCAGUUAUGAUUUUUGC
rnacentral:lncRNA from 1 species